GUCUUCCACCUGUUUCCCAGCCCGUGUGUCACCUGCCUCUUGUUGUCUCAUUAUCAUCUGUAUGUAGUCUUGGUGUUCCCCUUGUCCAUUGUCAGAUCAUUGUUUGUGUGUGUGUGUUCUUGUCGCCUCUCCC